rnacentral:sRNA from 14 species
UCGAUUUUAAGAUAACUUUACGUGGAUGGCUUUCUGCGUUUAUUUAUUAUUUAUAUAUCUUCAAAGUAGAACGCAAUG